rnacentral:rRNA from 1 species
CAGCAGCCGCGGGAAUACGAAGGGGGCUAGCGUUGCUCGGAAUUACUGGGCGUAAAGGGAGCGUAGGCGGGUCGUUAAGUUGGGGGUGAAAGCCCGGGGCUCAACCUCGGAAUUGCCUUCAAAACUGGCGACCUUGAGUAUGGGAGAGGUGAGUGGAACUCCGAGUGUAGAGGUGAAAUUCGUAGAUAUUCGGAAGAACACCAGUGGCGAAGGCGACUCACUGGCCCAUUACUGACGCUGAGGCUCGAAAGCGUGGGGAGCAAACAGGAUUAGAUACCCCAGUAGUCCCUGUCUCUUAUAC